rnacentral:lncRNA from 1 species
CUUUGCCUUGACCAGCCUUUGCAUAUCUUGUAACGUAAUUAGUGAUAUGUAUUACAUUCGGAGGUCCCAUAGUUCUGAGAACUGACGGGGGGACCUCCUAAUACUGAAACACAUGUAUAUUAGGUGUCAAAUGCAGCAU